rnacentral:rRNA from 1 species
GACGAACGCUGGCGGCGUGCCUAACACAUGCAAGUCGAGCGGAGUCGAUUGACGGAAGCCUUCGGGCGGAAGAUGGUUGACUUAGCGGCGGAUGGGUGAGUAACGCGUGGGCAACCUGCCUCGAAGACCGGGAUAACAGCCCGAAAGGGCUGCUAAUACCGGAUGUGGUCAAGGAUCCGCAUGGAUUUUUGAUUAAAGGGGAAACCCGUUUCGAGAUGGGCCCGCGUCCUAUCAGCUAGUUGGUGAGGUAAAAGCUCACCAAGGCGACGACGGGUAGCCGGCCUGAGAGGGUGACCGGCCACACUGGAACUGAGACACGGUCCAGACUCCUACGGGGGCAGCAGUGGGGAAUCUUCCACAAUGGGCGAAAGCCUGAUGGAGCGACGCCGCGUGAGCGAAGAAGGCCUUCGGGUUGUAAAGCUCUGUCUGGAGGGACGAAGGAAGUGACGGUACCUCCGGAGGAAGCCACGGCUAACUACGUGCCAGCCGCCGCGAUAAUACCCACGAGAGUA